CUUUCAACAACGGAUCUCUUGGUUCUGGCAUCGAUGAAGAACGCAGCGAAAUGCGAUAAGUAGUGUGAAUUGCAGAAUUCAGUGAAUCAUCGAAUCUUUGAACGCACAUUGCGCCCUUUGGUAUUCCAAAGGGCAUGCCUGUUCGAGCGU
rnacentral:rRNA from 1 species